ACCGGUCCCCGUACGCGUAGCCUGCCAGGAAUCCUGAGGCAUCUGGUCCCUGGUGGUGAGACUGGUCCUCGGGAGACCGGUCCCUGAAGGGCAGACCGGUCCCUCGCUGCGCAGCAGCUGAAAAACCCGAAAAUUUGGCUAAGUCCUGGAAAACCCACGUUCGGGAACCGGUCCCUGGUCGGGGAGACCGGUCCCCGAAGGCGAAAAAUGCCCAGUCUGGGCAGAUCAAUGGGAAACAAGUGGAGGGGCUUAAGUGCAAUUGUUACAACACUAUAUAU
rnacentral:lncRNA from 1 species